AGACGGACGAGAGGAACGACCCGAGCAGCGACCUGAGGCGUGACCCGAGGCGUGACCCGAGCGGCGGAGCGGGGGGGUCAGAGGUGGCGUGGGGCCGUCGUCAUGGCAGCGCUGGGCUCAGGAGUGUUCAGGAUCCACCGACGCAAACUCUUCCUCUGCACCGUCCUCUUCAUCAUCAUGUACUUCGUCCCGCGCCGUAAGCCCCGCCCCCCCACGCCCACUCACGCCGUCGUCUCUUUCUGGCACGGAGUCCCGCC